rnacentral:misc_RNA from 1 species
UAGAUGGAAAACUGUGGGGCA